rnacentral:misc_RNA from 1 species
GAUGAAGAACGUAGCGAAAUGCGAUAAGUAGUGUGAAUUGCAGAAUUCAGUGAAUCAUCGAAUCUUUGAACGCACAUUGCGCCCGCCAGUAUUCUGGCGGGCAUGCCUGUCCGAGCGUCAUUUCAACCAUCAAGCCCCGGGCUUGUGUUGGGGACCUGCGUCCGACGCAGGCCCUGAAAACCAGUGGCGGGCUCGCUGUCCACACCGAGCGUAGUAACUAACCUCGCUAUGGAGUGGCGCGGGCGCCUGCCGUAAAACCCCCAAUUUCACAAGCUUGACCUCGGAUCAGGUAGGAAUACCCGCUGAACUUAAGCAUAUCAAUAAGCGGAGGA